UACAGAGGGUGCAAGCGUUGUCCGGAAUUACUGGGCGUAAAGAGUUCGUAGGCGGUUUGUCGCGUCGUUCGUGAAAACUUGGGGCUUAACUCCAAGCGUGCGGGCGAUACGGGCAGACUUGAGUACUACAGGGGAGACUGGAAUUCCUGGUGUAGCGGUGAAAUGCGCAGAUAUCAGGAGGAACACCGGUGGCGAAGGCGGGUCUCUGGGUAGUAACUGACGCUGAGGAACGAAAGCGUGGGUAGCGAACAGG
rnacentral:rRNA from 1 species